CCUACGGGAGGCAGCAGUGGGGAAUAUUGGGCAAUGGGCGCAAGCCUGACCCAGCAACGCCGCGUGAAUGAAGAAGGCUUUCGGGUUGUAAACUUCUUUUGACAGGGAAGAGUAGAAGACGGUACCUGUCGAAUAAGGCACGGCUAAAUACGUGCCAGCAGACGCCGUAAUACGUAGGUGGCCAAGGGUUUCCGGAUUUACUGGGGGUAAAGGGCGGGUAGCCGGGUUGACAAGUCAGUUGCGAAAACCUGCGGCUUAACCGCAGAACUGCCUUUUAAACUGUUGAUCUUGAGUACAGGAGGGGCAAACGGAAUUCCUGGUGGAGCGGUGGAAUGCGUAGAUAUUAGGAGGAACACCAGGGGCGAAGGCGGUCUGCUGGACAGCAACUGACGGUGAGGCGCGAAAGCGUGGGGAGCAAACAGGAUUAGAUACCCCAGUAGUC
rnacentral:rRNA from 1 species